rnacentral:sRNA from 1 species
AGUUUAUCAAACUGAUGCACAUACAGCUGUCAGCACGGGGUCUGGCACGAGGUCAAGUGCUCAGGAGUGGGUGGUAGCAAAUCGAUGGAUGUGAAGAUAUAUAGAUGAGGGAUUGAGUCUGAGUAGGAGUCUUUUUGGGGGCUGUGUGGUGAGAGUGAUACCCCCUCACUGCUGCCAUCUGGCCCUUGUGAUAGAAUGCACGCUGUACUAGCAUCUCCUGGGAGCUGAGGCAGACCCUGUCAGUUGUAUUUGAUGCCUUCAUCACGGGGCAGGGAAAGAAAGACUGGUCCCUCUUCCGGAUGUUCUCCCGAACCCUCACGGAGCCCUGCCCCCUGGCUUCAGAGAGCCGAGUCUAUGUGGACAUCACCACCUACAACCAGGACAACGAGACAUUAGAGGUGCACCCACCCCCGACCACUACAUAUCAGGACGUCAUCCUAGGCACUCGGAAGACCUAUGCCAUCUAUGACUUGCUUGACACCGCCAUGAUCAACAACUCUCGAAACCUCAACAUCCAGCUCAAGUGGAAGAGACCC